rnacentral:rRNA from 1 species
CCUACGGGAGGCAGCAGUGAGGAAUAUUGGUCAAUGGGCGGAAGCCUGAACCAGCCAAGUCGCGUGAGGGAAUAAGGCCCUACGGGUUGUAAACCUCUUUUGCCGGGGAGUAAGGGCGGGGACGUGUCCCGGCCCGGAGAGUACCUGGAGAAAAAGCACCGGUUAACUCCGUGCCAGCAGCCGCGGUAAUACGGAGGAUGCGAGCGUUAUCCGGAUUUAUUGGGUUUAAAGGGUGCGUAGGCUGUCGGAUAAGUUAGAGGUGAAAUCCCGAGGCUCAACUUCGGAAUUGCCUCUGAUACUGUUCGGCUAGAGAGUAGUUGCGGUAGGCGGAAUGUAUGGUGUAGCGGUGAAAUGCUUAGAGAUCAUACAGAACACCGAUUGCGAAGGCAGCUUACCAGGCUACUUCUGACGUUGAGGCACGAAAGCGUGGGGAGCAAACAGGAUUAGAUACCCUAGUAGUC